UACGAAGGGGGGCGAGCGUUUGUUCGGAAUUACUGGGCGUAAAGGGCGCGCAGGCGGCCCCUUGAAGUCAGGCGUGAAAGCCCCCGGGCUCAACCUGGGAGGUGCGCUUGAUACUCGAGGGCUUGAGUGCGGGAGAGGAGAGUGGAAUUCCCCAGUGUAGAGGUGAAAAUUCGUAGAUAUUCGGCGGAACACCAGUGGCGAAGGCGACUCACUGGCCCCGAUACUGACGCUGAGGCGCGAAAAGCGUGGGGGAGCAAACAGGG
rnacentral:rRNA from 1 species